rnacentral:rRNA from 1 species
CACCUGGAAACAGAUGCUAAUACCGGAUAACAACAGAUGAUGCCUAUCAACUGUUUAAAAGAUGGUUCUGCUAUCACUCUUGGAUGGACCUGCGGUGCAUUAGCUAGUUGGUAGGGUAACGGCCUACCAAGGCGAUGAUGCAUAGCCGAGUUGAGAGACUGAUCGGCCACAUUGGGACUGAGACACGGCCCAAACUCCUACGGGAGGCAGCAGCU